AUCUAUGCCAACACAAGUAUGAAUCUCUCAUACUAUGAUGCGGUAGCUGAAGGUAAGAACCUACUAGCUGUUUUAACUUGUAAUGCAUGUCGUUUUAACUUGGGCAUCAAGAGAGGUUUUGCUCUUUAUUUUAUAUAUCUCUAGAGAUGCUUUUAUCUCUUUAUUUCGUUUACAUUAAUUUUGUGAACGGUCAUGGUUUUACUCUAAUUUGAAAUUACCUUAAAAAACCUCACCUUAGAGGUUUUGUGUGAAAUUGCUUUGUCAUUAUAUGUGAUUUUGAAAAUCUACAUUUUUAAUCCUGUCAUAUGCUUGGUUAUUUGAUUUGAUUGCAUAUGAAUAUCACUAUAUCUCCUUUAUGCUACUUCACUAGAACCUGAUUGUGCUGAGAGUUGUACAGCUAAUAUUGAACAAGAUAUGUUAUUAGGUUACCAUGGCUAAGUUUAUUAUCUACGGCUCUAUCAUUGGCAUUUUCCCUGUUCGUGUUUGUUUCUGUGUUUUUAUUUGCAGUAUCCUUUGGUAUUUCCUGAUACAUGUAAGUUGAACUUUGGUAUGACUGCUGGAAUCAAUACACCAAACUUACUGGUUUAAAGUAUUGAAACUGUUGAAUUAAGGAUAGCAUGUUCGGAUUUUGUGAUGAAUUGGACUGUUGUGAAAUAAGCUGUGACUAAUGAUUGUGCAGGAGUCUAUUCAAAUUAUGGCCACAUUUGAUUGCCUCAUGAAGACUUAUGGGUUCCUGGCACCAGACUACAAAGAGUACAUGAAUAUACUGUAAAGAGUUAAAGAAGAGAGGGAACUAAAAUAAAUGCGGAAAAGAAGGAUAACUACAUGCUAUAUAAUUGUAUAAUGUCUACAUAUGUUUUCCUUUACUGCUCUUCAUUGCUUAUUGCGGUAGGAAACCCCCUCGACCAAUAUUUCCAGGUCCUUGUGAAGACAUUUUUCCUUGCGACAUGAUUUGGGACCGUCCAGGGCCUUGAACAAAUGAUGUAGUUUUGUUUGUCGAUAUUUGCAAUUUGUUGAAGUACAUUUAAAUACUGAAUAUGUCUUUGAAAUAACUCCAUGUUGUGAGUAGUGAUAGUUUUUGUCUAAAGAGCUUGCAAGAAGUGUUUUUUUGUGCUUGUAUAAAAUUUUUUAUUAGUUA